rnacentral:lncRNA from 11 species
UGAACAGGAAAAAAGCACAGAAUGGGAGGAAACAAGUCCCAGCAGCUGUGAUAUGCUUAAAGCACUUUUAAGGGUUUUUUUUUCAAGUGCCUGAGGAACCAAUUGGUGCAGUAAGAAGGGCCAUGCUUCAGCUCAAACUUAGACGAGAUUGCAAUGCCAGCCCUGUAUUAGGACUGAGAGGCAUUCCGGGAAAGAUUUAGACAGAUCCCUUUUCCCAGAAAGAUUGAUAUUCCCCAGCAAACUGAGAUGAAAGGGAUUGCGCUGAUGCAUACAUUCCUUGCUUCUGCAUUUCAAUUUCUA